rnacentral:rRNA from 1 species
UACGUAGGGUCCGAGCGUUGUCCGGAGUUACUGGGCGUAAAGCGCGCGCAGGCGGCCCGUCGUGACCGGCGUGAAAGCCCCCGGCUCAACCGGGGAGGGUCGCCGGUGACUGGCGGGCUCGAGGACGGCAGGGGCCGGUGGAAUGCCCGGUGUAGUGGUGAAAUGCGUAGAGAUCGGGCGGAACACCCGUGGCGAAGGCGGCCGGCUGGGCCGUUCCUGACGCUGAGGCGCGAAGGCGUGGGGAGCGAACGGG